rnacentral:rRNA from 1 species
UACGAAGGGGGCUAGCGUUGUUCGGAUUUACUGGGCGUAAAGCGCACGUAGGCGGAUCGUUAAGUCGGGGGUGAAAUCCUGGAGCUCAACUCCAGAACUGCCUUUGAUACUGGCGAUCUUGAGUCCGGGAGAAGUGAGUGGAACUGCGAGUGUAGAGGUGAAAUUCGUAGAUAUUCGGAAGAACACCAGUGGCGAAGGCGGCUCACUGGACUGGUAUUGACGCUGAGGUGCGAAAGCGUGGGGAGCAAACAGG